GCCAACUGGAGUGGUGGCAUCACAUGCAGGGCCCUGGUUGCUGGCUGCAUUCGGCCUUACUGGUCCAAAUUCACAAAUUUAGGUUGCUGAUCACACAAGUGCGAACCUUUUGGCUCUGUGUCUGGGCCUCUCUGCUUUCGGUUAGACAGGAAACCAGCGUCGGGCAAACCUCCAAGGUUUCAGAUGGGCCUUCUGUUCAGAUAAGCUUCCAAGGAUGUUUCUGCUUGGGAACAGUAACAGAUCAAGUUCUUUCCUGGGUUUUGUGCCUCUGUGACAUACCAACAGAUUUAGAACCGACGUUAUAAUCGGAGUGAAAAUGCCCACAUGUGACUUGAGUUAAACAGACCUCUGUGGAUCAGAGAUGCAAGGCUAACUAAUUUCAGGGUGUUAGCUAAAAUUCUCUGAGAGGCACCAAGCAUCUACCCCGUCAGAGAGUUUUAGGUUCACAGCAGAAUUGAGAGGAGAGUACGGAGAGUUCCCAUGUGCUGCCUGUCCUCUCACACGCACAGCCUCUCCCGUUGUCAGCAGCCCCCACCACUGUGGUUUGGAUUAAGAAUGAAGUUGUUAUAAGCAUUGUGUGCAGGUUUUUGUGUGAACAUAAGUUUUCAACUCAUUUGAGUAAAUGCCAAGGAGGGAAAUUGCUGGAUGAUAUAUAUGAAGCAUACUAUUCCAUUGUAUGGCGCUAUCUUGACCAGUCUCUUUACUGAGAGACACUGGGUUGUUUCUGGUCUUUUGCAAGGACAAUGUUGCCAUGAAUACACUUGGAUGCAGCUCAUUUGGUAGGAGUGCAGGCACUGAAGAGAAGACAUGGCCCCUGCCCUCAACAAUCCAAAAACCCAGUGGCAAGACAAUUCUGGACGAGUGUGAGGAUAACUUGAAGUUCAAGGCCCUGCACGAUCCCUGCCAUUGCUUCUUUGAAGGAGGUAGCAGCACCAAGUUUGAAAUUCUUAUGUAGGAGCAGAUGGAACAGGAUCCUACUUUCAUAUACUAUUGCUAUGUUAUUUCAACUAUUAGAAUUAUUAAAAAUUUUGCCUCAUCUGAAAACAUGGUGAGGUCUGUCUCCCUUUUCAAGCUGAAGAUAAGGGAUGAUGAUGCCAUAUUUGUCCCUGUAUUGUGUUCAUAUUUGUAUUGCCAGUUGGUUCCAUGUUAGGCUUUGGCAAAGAGAGCACUAGAAAGAAGCUGCAAGACUGGAGGAGGAAGAAGGGACUUGCUCCUUCCUAUCUGCUAUAUUUUGGCUUCUUGUCUGCUUCCUGUUCCUGUGAGCAGCACUCAAGCAACACUUCCUUGCCUUCCUGAAGUAGCAGCUGAAUUCUGUUUGUGAUUUCUCCAACCCUGGCAGAACCAGCCUCAUUAUGUCCCUCAAAGGGAUGCCAGCAUGAGCCAGCUGCGCCUGCACCCCCCACCACCAAGAGGUCUGGGUCCCAGUCACCAGGGAAUCCUCCAAUACUCCAAGUUUAAACAAUUCCAGUUUCUUUCCCUGUUUCUCCAGGGCUUGGAGGUGGCAAUGGCUUCCUGCAGUUGCUACCUCGAUGGUACUGUAGAGUUUUCUUUCAUUUCUAGUUAUCUAGUUAACAACCACAUCUGGUUAACAAUUCUUUUUAUUAAAUUUACUCUGUUCAAAUCACA